UACGUAGGGUGCGAGCGUUAAUCGGAAUUACUGGGCGUAAAGCGUGCGCAGGCGGUGAGCUGUGUCCGAUGUGAAAGCCCCGGGCUUAACCUGGGAAUGGCAUUGGAAACUGGCUCGCUGGAGUGUGGCAGAGGCGAGUGGAAUUCCUGGUGUAGCGGUGAAAUGCGCAGAUAUCAGGAGGAACACCAAUGGCGAAGGCAGCUCGCUGGGACGGUACUGACGCUGAGACGCGAAAGCGUGGGGAGCAAACAGG
rnacentral:rRNA from 1 species